AUUUUGUAUCAAGUUGACAAUGGUCAUUUCAAGAUCAAGUCAACCUUGGUAGCACCCUUGCUUCUAGCACCACGCAUGAGGUUGUAGCAGCUGGGCGUGACCAGAUCCAGAGACAAUGCCAGACGGGAAGUUUGAUUGGAAGAGUACACCUGUCAAAAGGUAACAUAGCUGUCCUAAGGUGAAUUCAGGAAGGACAGAAACCUCCUGUAGAGAAGAAGGGCAAAAGCUCACUUGAUCUUGAUUUCCAGCAUGGAUAUCGACUAUGAAAAUGUGGUCUCACCAUCCUUCUGAUCUUUCGGAUCUUAAGCCAGAGGUGUCGUAAAAGU
rnacentral:ncRNA from 1 species